rnacentral:rRNA from 1 species
UACGAAGGGGGCUAGCGUUGUUCGGAAUUACUGGGCGUAAAGCGCACGUAGGCGGAUACUUAAGUUAGGGGUGAAAUCCCAGGGCUCAACCCUGGAACUGCCUUUAAUACUGGGUAUCUUGAGUCCGAGAGAGGUGAGUGGAAUUCCGAGUGAUAGAGGUGAAAUUCGUAGAUAUUGGGAAGAACACCGGUGGCGAAGGCGGCUCUCUGGACCGAUACUGACGCUGAG